UGAGGGAUGACGGCCUUCGGGUUGUAAACCUCUUUCAGCAGGGACGAAGCGAAAGUGACGGUACCUGCAGAAGAAGCACCGGCCAAUUACGUGCCAGCAGCCGCGGUAAUACGUAGGGUGCCAGCGUUGUCCGGAAUUACUGGGCGUAAAGAGCUCGUAGGCGGUUUGUCGCGUCGUCUGUGAAAACUCGAGGCUCAACCUCGAGCUUGCAGGCGAUACGGGCAGACUUGAGUACUGCAGGGGAGACUGGAAUUCCUGGUGUAGCGGUGAAAUGCGCAGAUAUCAGGAGGAACACCGGUGGCGAAGGCGGGUCUCUGGGCAGUAACUGACGCUGAGGAGCGAAAGCGUGGGUAGCGAACAGGAUUAGAUACCCUGGUAGUCCACGCCGUAAACGGUGGGCGCUAGGUGUGGGUUUCCUUCCACGGGAUCCGUGCCGUAG
rnacentral:rRNA from 1 species